rnacentral:misc_RNA from 1 species
GUCAACAAUUUACGGGUACGGGACUCUAAGUAGUUAACUUUAAAAUAGACAUUUGCACAUUUGUUUUCUACGGAAACAGUAUAUCUAAAACUGUGUAAAAUAAUUUUAUAUUGAAUAAUAAAAGAAGUUAAGCGUGUUUAUUUUGUAACUCGUUACAACAAUGUGUAUAACAAUGACUUUAUUGCACGGACUUUACAUCAUAUUUUUGUUACAGCCAGCAUUUACUUGUGAAAGCGAUUGCAUAAAUAUAGGUAUCAUUUCCAAAGGUACAGAGCAUGUUUCUACUGAAAAACUAUCUUAUUAUGGGAAAAACAUAUCUCUUGUUCGGUAUUGGAUUAACACAUCAGAAAUUUACCAUAUAUUCAGAACUAUUAAAACACUGGACGGCAACGAUGAUGUUGACGUCAUUAUUCUGUUUGACUACGACGUGUCUGUUCUGCGGAUGCCCCAACUAUUGAAGACAGGCAACAAAAAACUGAUCAAGUGGGGAGAAAGACAAAAUAACAAUGAACAGGAAAAUAAAGGAGAGCAAGAUAAUUAUUACAUAGAACCUGGUGAUAUUUGUGGUAAAGAAGAAUUGCCUAAUCUCACACCUGAAGAUCCUAAUUGUAUAAAACAUCUUAAUGCGACAUUUGAACAAAGGGAUGAGAGCGUGUUAACAUUUCUCGGUCCACAGGCAAUAACUGGCUUGGUCAAGCUAUUGCAGUGGAGAUCACUAUUUCUUUUCUACGAGACAUCCACAGAAGUAGAAAUCUCUGAUCUUGUUGACAGUCUAUCUAAAGAAGGUGUUCUCCUUUCCUUAUUCAACAUUGACCAAGAGGAAUCUCUGCACAAUCGUCUGCUGCAAAUUUACCAACUCGAAGUUAACAUACAUCAUCGUCAAGAAAUUAAUAUUGUAGUAGUUUGCAAAUUCUCUUGCGCUCGAUACAUACUAAGAACGGCAAACGAAUUUGACACCACAAACCUAGAGCACAAAACCCUCUUGAAAAUGUUCUCAAGAUGGCUGAUCGUUGUGUAUGGACAUAGUCAGGGUGUGUCACGUGCUCUUGAAUCAUGUGCUUUCAGCAUUGACAAUGUGGCUAUCAUUUCUUUCCCAGGAAUCAGCGGAAAUGGCACCGGGGUAUUUAACAAGGUUCUUCAGUCAGUACUUCUAGAAAUCCUGAAGGAGGAAUUAUCCGGAAGUCAUCUCAAGUUUAAAAAGGCUGUAAUAGACCAUUUAGGAACGAAGGCGGCAAUUUGGAGCCCAAACUGUCAAUGUUUGGCAUAUAACAUUGACACAUUACUACAUGCAAAGUCUGGAAGGGCGUUAAGCUCGGUGGGGUAUGUAAAAAAUAAUGGUAAUGUGGUUGUGACAUCGGACAUUUUUCCCAAUACAAAGUAUGGAUACAACAAGAGACAUUUCAAUGUUUCAACCGUACAGGCAAGUUUUUUCUUUAAUUUUUCUUUUACAUAUUUUCCUUCUGCAGAUUUAUUUUUACAUUUUUUACAUGUAUUGUGUAACUUUUGGAAAUUUUAUGCCCAAGUCAUCAGGUGACUAAAAAUAUCUCAUGAUUAAUAGCGGCUAAUGAAAGAUGUAUUUUGUAUUUCGAUUCUGUUAAACUCCACUAAAAUUAGAAAGUGUAAAACAUGUUUUUUCCAUGAGUUCGUUGCAGGGACUUUGUGUAUUAUUUCAACAUAAUUACCUAAAGAUAUUGAAAAUUGCAAGCUUCUUCAUGCAGUCUUUUCCAUUUGUCAUGAAGAAAGAAAAGAAUGGCACCAUUGAAUACGAAGGAUUUUGCAUGGAUAUUUUAAAGGAACUGGCAAUGAAACUAAAUUUUACAUAUACAGUCACAGAGCCUUCUGAUGGUAAAUGGGGAGAUUAUGAGGAUAUGAAUUUAACCUAUAAUGGUCUAGUUGGUCAACUCCAGAGACAAGUUGGUUAUGUCAUAUUUCAUAUACCCGUUUUAAUUCUAAAUUUUGGCGUCUGCAUAUAACGGGUUCAUGUUGUUAUUAAUGUCUGAGGCUUAAAACAAAACGAGCUGAAAACAUUUGUUAGCUUUGUAGCAUUAAGGAAAAAUGUAUUUAAAAUUCCAAAAUAUAAGGGUAAAUUGGCUGCAGUCGUUUGCAUAUAUUAUUUUAAAAUGUCCAAUAGUUUCCAAUAUUUUAUUAUUCUAAAAUAUGUCACAAAAUAAUAAUUUCUUAAAGUCGAUCCAACACUCAGAACGUAAGCCGAACAAUGCUGUCGUUCCUAUUAAAUAGAGUGUAAUUGUUUGUAAUUUUAUUUUGUUUUACGUAAUCAUUCAUCAUGUAUUUAUUAUGUAACUAUCACAUGUUGCAAACUGUUACCCCUUAAUACUGAAAUGAAGAAAAUAUGCUGAAGCAUUAUAACAACUGUGAAAAUGAUUUCUUUACAAUAAUGCCUUAAAAAAUAUAUUGCACGAAGUGAAUUAGAACACCACAUUUUAAUGUUAGUGCAAAUAUGGUGUUACAUGUUGCUUGUUCUUCCUCAUUGUAUUGUAUUCUUAGGAAGUAGACAUAGUUGCAGCUCCUUUAUCAACGUCACAUGAGCGAAAAAAAGUCAUGGA